UACGAACCGUGCGAACGUUGUUCGGAAUCACUGGGCUUAAAGGGCGCGUAGGCGGGCUGACAAGUCUGGGGUGAAAUGCCGCGGCUCAACCGUGGAACUGCCUUAGAUACUGUCGGCCUCGAGGAAGGUAGGGGCAUGUGGAACUGUAGGUGGAGCGGUGAAAUGCGCAGAUAUCAGGAGGAACACCAAUGGCGAAGGCAGCUCGCUGGGACGGUACUGACGCUGAGACGCGAAAGCGUGGGGAGCAAACAGG
rnacentral:rRNA from 1 species